GCACUGCAACUUGGCCCAACCCGACCUACACAAAAUGCCCAAAAGCUUCAUGUAAUUUUCUCUAACUUCUCUCUCCUAGGGUUUCAUAUGGCUCAGAGAUGAUAGGGCAGUCAGCCUCGCUGGGGAAAGAAUGGCUGUAUUGCAGCGAGAAUCAAGGUCCAUGAGCUGAGACAGAAGACGAAGACUGAGCUCUUCAAUCAGUUAAAGGAUCUUAAGGCUGAGAUUCCAGAGCUUCGCGUCGCCAAGGUCACUGGUGGUGACCCUAACAAGCUCUCCAAGAUGUAGUCUCUCUGUCUUUAGGUCUUGGCAGUGAUUUCCCGGAAGCAGAAGGCUGCACUUGCAGAAGCAUACAAGAACAAGAAGUUCUUAACCCGUGUUCUGCGUCCUAAGAAGACCAGAGCUAUAAGCAGGAGACUUACUAAGCACCAGCAAUCAUGAAAGACUGAACGUGAGAAGAAGAGAGAAAUGUACUUUCCCAUGAGAAAGCAUGCUAUUAAGGUGUAGGGUGGUAUCUUCAGGAUAGGCUGCUUUUAUAUUUUGCAAUUAUAGACCAAUUUUAUUGACAAGUUUUGAUUUAGGUUAUGAAUAUGAACUUGCUUCUUUUGAUCUUAGCAAGAUUUAUAUUGUAACGUUAGUUGCAUAUUAAUUUCUUUUCAUGUACCUUGGAUCCUUAGUGAUAUUUUCCUUUUUUGUUUUAAAUAUGGGUUUUCUGUUU